rnacentral:rRNA from 1 species
AUUGAACGCUGGCGGCAGGCCUAACACAUGCAAGUCGAACGAGUGGCGGACGGGUGAGUAAUGUCUGGGAAACUGCCUGAUGGAGGGGGAUAACUACUGGAACCGGUAGCUAAUACCGCAUACCAUCAGAUGUGCCCAGCUGGGAUUAGCUAUUUGGUGGGGUAACGGCUCACCAAGGCGACGAUCCCUAGCUGGUCUGAGAGGAUGACCAGCCACACUGGAACUGAGCCACGGGCCAGACUCCGACGGGAGGCAGCAGUGGGGAAUAUUGCACAAUGGGCGCAAGCCUGAUGCAGCCAUGCCGCGUGUAUGAAGAAGGCCUUCGGUUUGUAAAGUACUUUCAGCGGGGAGGCUUUACCCGCAGAAGAAGCACCGGCUAACUCCGUGCCAGCAGCCGCGGUAAUUC